AUGAGUGACAAGCAAGAUGGUGUCCAAUAAGUGGAUAAUUAUAUGGAUUGCACUCUUUAAUCUACUUAUAGACAAAGCUUUCGGAGGCAUCUACUAUGAAGGACUGACUGGUACCAAUCUUUCCUGCUACACGUGUAAGGAAAGUUACAAAAUCACGCCAUACGACCCAACAGCCCACACCUGCCAGUCAAACCUUCCCAAAGUAGACAUCAUCUCCUGCGGCAUGAAAGAUAAAUACUGCAAGGUAUGACUGCAGAGAAUAAUUAUACCCACGCUAAUCUCCUGUAGCGGAUAGGUGCCGUCAAAGCAGAUCUCACAGACAUCCGUGCAGUGCAGGGCCGGAGAAGCGAACGUUAACCCCCGAUUUCCUCAGGAUGCACAUAGUUACAAUUGAAAGAAGCUGUACGGACACAUGUUAUUAUGGAUGUAAGUUCCAAGGAUACGGAUUGACCUAUCUGAAAUGUACGUCGUGCUGUAGAGGACAUGCGUGCAACACAGACAGCCACGGAGUGAUUAUCACGCCAAGUUUAUUUCUUUAUGUGAUGAUGAUUUUAAUUGCUACAUUUAUAAUCCGAGGAUAAACGAUAAGUCCGUAUCGUCGUCUGACGGUGGCCAGUGGUACCAGGCUAUAUCCGCAGUAGUUCGCGUACGCUCAGGAAAAUCUAAUGAAUAUAAAAUGAGGUCUAAAAAUAGUUUUAGGAAUACCAUUAUUAUGAAGUCAGCGAUGGAAUUUCCUGGUUGGACUUAGGAAAUUUAUGAUAAAAUAACUAGGACUGUGCACUUGGUGGGAGUGGCCGUCCCUUCCCUUACUUCGUUACUUCGAGAUUUUUUCCAAAUGUGCUGGAAGACCUCCAACGGCAGACGAAUUUGGAGUUGGUUCUCGAAGUUGUGUUCCGGCGGAGCAUUAGGAGGAGAAGAUGAACCACCGGCUGGUGACCUCUUAACUCGAACUUCAUGGCGACGGCCCGGUUCUUUGAUAGGGUCAGGCCAGCGGAAAACCCCAACACCUUCAGUUUUGCUGGAGUUGCCGCAAAACAUCGCAGCACAACGCCACCCGACAACCCUUUUCUUUUUCUUCUCCAUAAUCUUCAGUUCUUAUCGUGUAUAUAUUGUGUAAGGACAGGAUGGAAUGUCAAUGGUCAAUGGCAGUUGUAAAUAAACGAAUGAGAUUUUUUUUUUCGCGGGAAUGUAAACCAUCGCGACAGCGAAAAUGUUCAUGUUGUGACGUCAUCAACAAAAACGUCGUCGGCGUAGCGCGAUUUCAACGGCAUCGAAGCGAGCCGUCCGGGCGGGAUUAAAACCAUCAAUUUCUCGAAAAUGUGCAUUUCGAUUCGAAAACCUUACCGAUUUAUGAGAAAGUG